ACGGGUGAGUAAUACAUCGGAACGUGUCCUGGAGUGGGGGAUAGCCCGGCGAAAGCCGGAUUAAUACCGCAUACGCUCUAAGGAGGAAAGGGGGGGAUCUUAGGACCUCUCGCUCAAGGGGCGGCCGAUGGCAGAUUAGCUAGUUGGUGGGGUAAAGGCCUACCAAGGCGACGAUCUGUAGCUGGUCUGAGAGGACGACCAGCCACACUGGGACUGAGACACGGCCCAGACUCCUACGGGAGGCAGCAGUGGGGAAUUUUGGACAAUGGGCGCAAGCCUGAUCCAGCAAUGCCGCGUGUGUGAAGAAGGCCUUCGGGUUGUAAAGCACUUUUGUCCGGAAAGAAAACCCCUGCCCUAAUACGGCGGGGGGAUGACGGUACCGGAAGAAUAAGCACCGGCUAACUACGUGCCAGCAGCCGCGGUAAUACGUAGGGUGCGAGCGUUAAUCGGAAUUACUGGGCGUAAAGCGUGCGCAGGCGGUUCGUUAAGACAGAUGUGAAAUCCCCGGGCUUAACCUGGGAACUGCAUUUGUGACUGGCGGGCUAGAGUAUGGCAGAGGGGGGUAGAAUUCCACGCGUAGCAGU
rnacentral:rRNA from 1 species